CUAUAACCUUUCCACCUCUCUCUUUUGAACAGAUUUUGACGGAACGAUAUCAACUGCUAUUUUACCUCAAACGUUGUACAUUAUCGAAUAUAUAUGUCGUUGUUAACGAUGCACAAAUGUAUGUGGAUUGUAUGAGUCAGACAUCUCGAAGUAUAUUCGUAUCGUGUUUCUCUUGCAUGAUCCGUUGGUUGUUUGUCCGUUUGCCAGGUUUGCCUGCGUCCAUCAAGUUCGACAAUCCAAAAAAUAUAUAAAACACUUGCUUAAAGUGUUUUACCUCAUCAAAACAUUCAAUGGAUAAAGCAGGCUCUUUUCUCCUCCCGUAACCAUGGUGAACAGAUAACCGCUUCUCCGGCCGUCCUGACAUCAUGGGUACCUGCCUCUGCAAAGAGCUCCAGCGCUCCAUGGCGGUAUUGCAGGGUGAGGUGGAGGAAGGGCAGCCCCCACCUGGACAGAACGACCUUAAUCCUCCUGACGGCAGCACCACCGAUAAGAUCAGUAGAUAUGAUAUUGGAGAACUAGCCACUUCUUCUCUGCUUGGUAAUACACUCAUACACGCAUGUACUGACACCCAAAUGCACACACACACUCGCACCUAAACAUAUAUGCACGC